UACGUAGGGUGCGAGCGUUAAUCGGAAUUACUGGGCGUAAAGCGUGCGCAGGCGGUUCGUUAAGUCAGAUGUGAAAUCCCCGGGCUUAACCUGGGAACUGCAUUUGUGACUGGCGAGCUAGAGUAUGGCAGAGGGGGGUAGAAUUCCACGUGUAGCAGUGAAAUGCGUAGAGAUGUGGAGGAAUACCGAUGGCGAAGGCAGCCCCCUGGGCCAAUACUGACGCUCAGGCACGAAAGCGUGGGGAGCAAACAGG
rnacentral:rRNA from 1 species